rnacentral:rRNA from 1 species
GACGAACGCUGGCGGCGUGCUUAACACAUGCAAGUCGAACGGAAAGGCCCUGCUUUUGUGGGGUGCUCGAGUGGCGAACGGGUGAGUAACACGUGAGUAACCUGCCCUUGACUUUGGGAUAACUUCAGGAAACUGGGGCUAAUACCGGAUAGGAGCUCCUGCUGCAUGGUGGGGGUUGGAAAGUUUCGGCGGUUGGGGAUGGACUCGCGGCUUAUCAGCUUGUUGGUGGGGUAGUGGCUUACCAAGGCUUUGACGGGUAGCCGGCCUGAGAGGGUGACCGGGCCAAAUUGGGAAUGGGAAGAGGCCCAAAGCCCUAGGGGGGGAAGGAGGGGGGAAUGUUGCAGAAGGGGGGGGAGCCUGAUGAAGAAACGCGGGGGGGGGAAUGAGGGCCUUGGGGUUGAAAACGGCUUUGCCCGGGAAGGAAGGGGGGGGGACGGUAAGGGGGAAAAAAGCACCGGCAAACAAGGG